rnacentral:rRNA from 1 species
AGGGGCAGCAUGGUCUUAGCUUGCUGAGUUUGAUGGCGACCGGCGCACGGGUGAGUAACACGUAUCCAACCUGCCGAUGACUCGGGGAUAGCCUUUCGAAAGAAAGAUUAAUACCCGAUGGUAUAAUCAGACCGCAUGGUCUUGUUAUUAAAGAAUUUCGAUAAUCGAUGGGGAUGCGUUCCAUUAGUUUGUUGGCGGGGUAACGGCCCACCAAGACAUCGAUGGAUAGGGGUUCUGAGAGGAAGGUCCCCCACAUUGGAACUGAGACACGGUCCAAACUCC